AAAAAAGAUAAACCGACAGAAACUUAAAAAUAUUAAUUAUGUUUCAGCACGAAACAAGGGAUACCUAACAUCUGGAUAUAUUGUAAAAAAUUUAAGAAUAUUAUCUUAACAAAAAGAUAAAAGAUGAUGUCACGCUAAAAGUGAUUCUCUCAGCAAAUGGGCUACGGAUUCAAAGUAAACAGGAUGGAUAGGUGUUUUAAAUUUUCAAAAUGUUACUAAAGGUAACCAAGCCAUCAGUGGUAGUUGUCAAGAAUGAGGAA